rnacentral:rRNA from 1 species
CGAACGGGUGAGUAAUACAUCGGAACGUGCCCAGUCGUGGGGGAUAACUACUCGAAAGAGUAGCUAAUACCGCAUACGAUCUGAGGAUGAAAGCGGGGGACCUUCGGGCCUCGCGCGAUUGGAGCGGCCGAUGGCAGAUUAGGUAGUUGGUGGGAUAAAAGCUUACCAAGCCGACGAUCUGUAGCUGGUCUGAGAGGACGACCAGCCACACUGGGACUGAGACACGGCCCAGACUCCUACGGGAGGCAGCAGCA